CCCGUCUGUCUGUGUCACCCUGCAGUGGGAGGGACAGACUCUGUGUCCCAUAGCUCCUUCUGUCUGUGUCACCCUGCAGUGGGAGGGACAGACUCUGUGUCCCAUAGCUCCUUCUGUCUGUGUCACCCUGCAGUGGGAGGGACAGACUCCGUGUCCCAUAGCUCCUUCUGUCUGUGUCACCCUGCAGUGGGAGGGACAGACUCCGUGUCCCAUAGCUCCUUCUGUCUGUGUCACCCUGCAGUGGGAGGGACAGACUCCGUGUCCCACAGCUCCUUCUGUCUGUGUCACCCUGCAGUGGGAGGGACAGACUCCGUGUCCCAUAGCUCCUUCUGUCUGUGUCACCCUGCAGUGGGAGGGACAGACUCCGUGUCCCAUAGCUCCUUCCCUCUGUGUCACCCUGCAGUGGGAGGGACAGACUCCGUGUCCCAUAGCUCCUUCUGUCUGUGUCACCCUGCAGUGGGAGGGACAGACUCUGUGUCCCAUAGCUCCUUCUGUCUUUCACCCCGCAGUGGGAGGGACAGACUUUGUGUCCCAUAGCUCCUUCUGUCACCCCGCAGUGGGAGGGACAGACUCAGUGUCCCAUAGCUCCUUCUGUCUGUGUCACCAUGCAGUGGGAGGGUCAGACUGUG